CUUAGAAUUAGGAUUAUUUUUUUGUAGAAACCUUUUCAGUCUCAUUCUCUAUGGCCUGGCCACCACUGCAAUAUCAAAUCAUCCCCAAGGGCCUGCAAGGUAUAUGCUCUUGAGAAUGAUGUAUAUAGCUCUCUGCGGCAGACACAUGCCUCAGAAUAAAUGUUUUUCUAGGUGUUUAAUACAGAGUGUCAAUGGGGAGCUUUCACUUCUUGAUUUGGUUGAUGAACGUUAGAGGGAGCUUACUGAUUCUAUUGAAUUAUUUUUGGGUUACAUGUAGUCAAUCAGAGAAGAAAACAAAUCUUAUUGAGGAAGUUGCAUGUUAGAUUAUGGCCACCGAGGAAUGCAGGUGUGGUAUCCAUCUCGGGGGGUUGACCCUUUUAAGCAGGAGGGUUUCUUGCAAGGACGUUUGUAUUCAAGAAACAGUGUUCUCUGUGUUGUGGAUUGUUGGCAGAUAGUUAUACUAUCUAUAUGGAAUUGAUGCAUAGUAAGUUUUCCCUUAUUAGGAGGAUUAGUUAGAAUUUUCCUCAGUAUAAUUAUGAAUCUUGCACACUUGUGUUAUGAUGGGAGUGCAGUUUAAAUGUGACAACCGAUCAGUUCAACUGUAUUUGCCUGUGUGUUGUUAAAA